rnacentral:rRNA from 1 species
CAGCGAGCAUGUGGUUUAAUUCGAAGCAACGCGAAGAACCUUACAGAUCUUGACAUCCAAUUGACCAUCUUUUAAUCGAGAUUUUGCCUUCGGGUACAAUUGAGACAGGUGGUGCAUGGUUGUCGUCAGCUCGUGUCGUGAGAUGUUGGGUUAAGUCCCGCAACGAGCGCAACCCUUGUGUUUAGUUGCAAACAGGUCAAGCUGUGCACGUCUAGACAGACUGCCGUGGACAACACGGAGGAAGGUGGGGAUGACGUCAAAUCAUCAUGCCCCUUAUGAUCUGGGCUACACACGUGCUACAAUGGCCGGUACAACGGGCAGCGAAGGAGCGAUCCGGAGCGAAUCCUAAAAAGCCGGUCCCAGUUCGGAUUGCAGGCUGAAACUCGCCUACAUGAAGUUGGAGUUGCUAGUAAUCGCGAAUCAGAAUGUCGCGGUGAAUGCGUUCCCGGGUCUU